rnacentral:rRNA from 1 species
GAUGAACGCUGGCGGCGUGCCUAAUACAUGCAAGUCGAGCGAACGGACGAGAAGCUUGCUUCUCUGAUGUUAGCGGCGGACGGGUGAGUAACACGUGGAUAACCUACCUAUAAGACUGGGAUAACUUCGGGAAACCGGAGCUAAUACCGGAUGAUAUUUUGAACCGCAUGGUUCAAAAGUGAAAGACGGUCUUGCUGUCACUUAUAGAUGGAUCCGCGCUGCAUUAGCUAGUUGGUAAGGUAACGGCUUACUAAGGCAACGAUGCAUAGCCGACCUAAGAGGGUGAUCGGCCACACUGGAACUGAGACACGGUCCAGACUCCUACGGGAGGCAGCAGUAGGGAAUCUUCCGCAAUGGGCGAAAGCCUGACGGAGCAACGCCGCGUGAGUGAUGAAGGUCUUCGGAUCGUAAAACUCUGUUAUUAGGGAAGAACAUAUGUGUAAGUAACUGUGCACAUCUUGACGGUACCUAAUCAGAAAGCCACGGCUAACUACGUG